UUCAGGUCUUCCCGACUCCAACUCCAGAGUUCUGUGCACCGAGCUACCCAGCUGCUCUAAGGAGGAUCAUAGGAUUUAGAGAUAGGCCAAGAAGACUAUAGAAAAGCUGACCUCUAUCUUCAAAUGCCUAGAGAGGGGAAAGCCAGAGCUUUCCACUUGGGCUGCUAUAAGGAAGAGAGGAGUAAUUUCCCCUCCCUGGGAGCUCUCCAAGGUAUUUCGAAUGAACAAACAAACGAACAAACAGACACACGAACAUCAAGCUCAAAAUUGCUUUUGCAUUGAUUUGGAAACAGUAA